rnacentral:rRNA from 1 species
CCCCUAGACGUUCUGGGCUGCACGCGCGCUACAUUAAUACGCACAGCGAGUAUCACCGAGCUCGAAAGGGCAAGGUAAACAAUAGAAAAGGUACUGUAAUGGUUAUAGAUCCUUGUAAUUAUUGAUCUUCAACGAGGAAUUCCUAGUAAGUAUGUGUCAUCAUCACGCACUGAUUACGUCCCUGCCCUUUGUACACACCGCCCGUCGCUCCUACCGAUUGAGUGAGCCGAUGAAACUGCCGGAUGUGGACUAUUCAUAGUCUGCAGAAGAUAUUUGAAUCGUAGCGCUUAGAGGAAGGAGAAGUCGUAACA